rnacentral:RNase_P_RNA from 1 species
GCGGAUGGCCGGAUGGCCGCGGGCGGUCACGUCCGAGGAAAGUCCGGACUCCACGGAGCAACGGUGCCGGGUAACGCCCGGCGGGGGCAACCCCAGGGAAAGCGCCACAGAGAACAGACCGCCCCUGUGCGCAGGGGUAAGGGUGAAACGGUGGGGUAAGAGCCCACCGCGGGACUGGUAACAGGACCGGCACGGCAAGCCCCACCGGGAGCAAUGCCGAAUAGGGACCCCGCGCGGGCAAUCCGCAGGGCGGCUUCGGCCCAGGGGUCCGGGUUGGCAGCUAGACGUGCAUCGGUAACGGUGCGCCUAGAGGAAUGGUCAUCCAGGGGCGUAAGCCCCGGACAGAAUCCGGCUUACAGGCCGUCCGCGCGC